UUCAAUCCUAACGGGAGGCUAACUUGAAACGCAGGUUCAGGAUUCCAAAUUCAGUGGCAUUUCACUACGCAUCUAACUUGGCGUCAUACAUGUCACACAAAGCAAAGCACAGGACGAGGUCACCCAGCGCACAAGACACAAGAGCUUUUUGUUACCUCAGGCCGAAGACAGGCCGGCAAAGCAUCCCGUGAUGGGAACUGAAACCACCCCCUCGAGCAAUAACAACUGUCCGCACACCAGCACGACCCUGCGUGCGUGACCCCAAGACCACGACCAGCCUGACCCCUGCUUCCCAGCUGCAUGGACCCACCGACUUUGUCCCGCGGUUUUCUUACGUAACCCAACAAGUAUCUCCAGCACUCCGGAGACAUUGGGCCAUUAGCCUGCUGUCUGCGCAGCGUCCGGCUCACUGAAAUAAAUCCCUUUCUUGUUUUGCCAC